GAACCUUCUUAACUCCUGCCCCUAUUCUUUUAUGCCCAUUUCCAGUCACUCAUCCCCACUUGCGGGGGCAAUGCCCACUCGCCUUCCCCGCGAUUGCUCAGCUAGUUUAUUUUUCUGAAGAUGCUGACAAAGUUCCACGUGUCUCUGUCCACUAAGCUCCCUCCCUUCCAAUCACACUUACACCUGAACUUGUCUCCAGCACUGCUGACACCCAGCUGGCACAUUCUUUCGGAGAGGGAGGGCACGACUUUUCUCCUGAGCCUCUGACAAAGCGUGGAGUCUAUAUAUGGCGCUGAGUACCCGGCUGCCACAGUCACCGCCGCCGCCGGCGGCACUAAGGAUCCUAGAUCGCUGCCCCAGGGUCGGCUAAUCUCACUCCACCUUCUUCUCUCCCAGUCGGGGACCUACUGAGCACCUCUGUAGAACACGGGCUCUGACGCCGCGCCAUCCUCGGUGGGGCAACGCAGCCCCUGGUCUGGGACGUAAGCCUCCCGUGCGCGCUGGCAUCUCCGAGCACACAGACCGGAGCCCGGGUCUGCACCAUGAACAGCCGCUUCCUCGCUCUGUGUCCCGGAGCUGCCAGGCGCCUUCCCCGGAAAGGCUGGAAAGCGAAGGGAUCGGGCCAUCAAGCUGGAGGGGGUGUGGAAGCCACCGCCUGGCCCCCUCUUUGGAAGUCCUUCCCUUCCAAGUUAAAGUUAUGUUUGUUUUCCCCCACCCUGACCUGUUAGUGUCUGUACCAUCACAAAUCAAUUACACAUUUU